UACAGAGGGUGCAAGCGUUGUUCGGAAUCAUUGGGCGUAAAGGGCGUGUAGGCGGUUUGUUAAGUCAUGUGUGAAAUCCCUCGGCUCAACCGGGGAACGACGCUUGAAACUGGCAAGCUAGAGUACCAAAGAGGGCGGUGGAAUUCCAGGUGUAGCGGUGAAAUGCGUAGAUAUCUGGAGGAAUACCGGUGGCGAAGGCGGCAUCCUGGACCGAGAUUGACACUGAUGAGCGAAAGCUAGGGGAGCAAACGGG
rnacentral:rRNA from 1 species